rnacentral:rRNA from 1 species
AGAGUUUGAUCCUGGNUCAGNCCCCUNAANGGGCGGCAGGCCUAACACAUGCAAGUCGAACGGCCUCCUUNGGGAUUAGUGGCGGACGGGUGAGUAACACGUGGGAACGUGCCUUUUGGUUCGGAACAACUCAGGGAAACUUGAGCUAAUACCGGAUGUGCCCUUCGGGGGAAAGAUUUAUCGCCAUUAGAGCGGCCCGCGUCUGAUUAGCUUGUUGGUGAGGUAAAGGCUCACCAAGGCGACGAUCAGUAGCUGGUCUGAGAGGAUGAUCAGCCACAUUGGGACUGAGACACGGCCCAAACUCCUACGGGAGGCAGCAGUGGGGAAUCUUGCGCAAUGGGCGAAAGCCUGACGCAGCCAUGCCGCGUGAAUGAUGAAGGUCUUAGGAUUGUAAAAUUCUUUCACCGGGGACGAUAAUGACGGUACCCGGAGAAGAAGCCCCGGCUAACUUCGUGCCAGCAGCCGCGGUAAUACGAAGGGGGCUAGCGUUGCUCGGAAUUACUGGGCGUAAAGGGAGCGUAGGCGGACAGUUUAGUCAGAGGUGAAAGCCCAGGGCUCAACCUUGGAAUUGCCUUUGAUACUGACUGUCUUGAGUAUGGGAGAGGUUAGCGGAACUCCGAGUGUAGAGGUGAAAUUCGUAGAUAUUCGGAAGAACACCAGUGGCGAAGGCGGCUAACUGGCCCAUUACUGACGCUGAGGCUCGAAAGCGU